UGAUUCAGGUACCCUCUUGAUUCAUUUUUGAUGGUCCACAGUUUCUUAUGAAGAAAAGCAACGCCUCACCGUUUCUUCCGCACAAGACACAAGUAACACGCACUCCCUUCUUCUUCGCUCCUUUCCCUUUCCAUCAUCAAACCCUGCACUUCACUAGCUUUCCAUCGACUCUAGCCAAGAAGAUGAUCAGGGACUUUAAUUUGUUCCCAGAACGCUCGAUCAACAUCGUUGAGGACGAUGAUGGGUUGCGAUCGUCGAGUUUUCAGCAGAAUAAGAUAGUUGAGAAGCGUUUUAAGUUCCCCAAUUUAGUCGAUCCAAAUGACAUAUCUGUUGAUGAUUUAGGUCAUCACACUGGUUAUUACCAGUUUGAACAUUCUCAUGCUCCUCGGAAAACUGGCUGCCCAAAUGGCUCGUGAUUUGGGAAUCGGGAAAGAUAGCGAUAAGCAAAGGAAAAGAAACUGAGGCCAGUAACCUUUGAGUUAGCACUUCAACCUGGCAACGGGGAAACCUCAGCGGAAAUGAGCAUUCAUCCCCUUUUGGGAUUCAACCAGAUCUUGGUUCUGGAAGCUUGCUAAGGUGCAUUUUCUUGCUCAUGACAACUUGUAAGUCACUGGUGUAAGUGUCCGAUUGUCCAUAAUCUUGUUGUACACGAUUGAGAGCCUUUUGAGGGUUAGUUGGAAGGACAUUCUAAAAUGAUCGAUGGUCUCUAAUAUGUAUAGAAUAUGAUGGGUUUUUUUAUAUUUAUUGGAAUCCAUUCAUUGUAAAUCGAGGAUUUGAACAUGUCAAGAUUAUGAAAGUUGG